rnacentral:rRNA from 1 species
CACGUAGGCACCAAGCGUUGUCCGGAUUUAUUGGGCGUAAAGAGCUCGUAGGCGGUUCGGUAAGUCGGGUGUGAAAACUCUGGGCUCAACCCAGAGCCGCCACCUGAUACUGCUGUGACUAGAGUGCGGUAGGGGAGCGGGGAAUUCCUGGUGUAGCGGUGAAAUGCGCAGAUAUCAGGAGGAACACCGAUGGCGAAGGCAGGUCUCUGGGCCACUACUGACGCUGAGAAGCGAAAGCAUGGGGAGCGAACAGG